GGGGAAUAUUGCACAAUGUGCGAAAGCCUGAUGCAGCAACGCCGCGUGAGUGAUGAAGGCCUUCGGGUCGUAAAGCUCUUUGAUCAGGGAUGAUAAUGACAGUACCUGAAAAACAAGCCACGGCUAACUACGUGCCAGCAGCCGCGGUAAUACGUAGGUGGCGAGCGUUGUCCGGAAUUAUUGGGCGUAAAGGAUGCGUAGGUGGAUAUUUAAGUGGGAUGUGAAAUCCCCGGGCUCAACCCGGGAACUGCAUUCCAUACUGGAUGUCUAGAGUGCAGGAGAGGAAAGUGGAAUUCCUAGUGUAGCGGUGAAAUGCGUAGAUAUUAGGAGGAACACCAGUGGCGAAGGCGACUUUCUGGACUGUAACUGACACUGAGGUAUGAAAGCGUGGGUAGCAAAC
rnacentral:rRNA from 1 species